AACGGCCAUACCAUGUUGAAUAUACCGGUUCUCGUUAGAUCACCGAAGUCAAGAAGCAUUGGGCGCGGUCAGUACUUGGGUGGGUGACCACAUGGGAACACCGCGUGCCGUCG
rnacentral:rRNA from 1 species